rnacentral:lncRNA from 1 species
UAAAAACUAGGUUUUGGCCUCUGGCAUCCAUUCAUCCUACUUCCUUUACUAAUUCUCCUUUCUAUUUUGAGUAUCCUCUUUCCCGAUGCUCCACUUACAGCAGGAAUGGCAAAAAAUGACUCCACGCUCAACUCCAUAGAUAUCAUGUGACCUAAGCCCAACUGAACAGAACUUCAGGAUCUUCUGGCUACAGUGAUUUGUUUGGAGAAAGACAUCAGAGAUGAUGGGAUGCCAUUAAACUCAAUGAAACUUCUGGAUCUUAAUUUAAACAUAAUGAG